rfam:Mus musculus chromosome X, GRC primary reference assembly.
ACUCGGGUGGAUAUAAUACAACCUGCUAAGUGUUCUAGCACUUAGCAGGUUGUAUUAUCAUUGUCCGAGGU